CCUUGGGAAUCAGGAAGAAACUGGAGUUGCAAAGCUUUGUAAACUUGGUGAUUUAUUUUAAAAAAUCGCAGUCAAAUUUAUGAGUAAAUUUUAGGUACAUAAUCAAACAGCUAAUUAUCUUGUCUGUGUAAUUGAAUACUUAAAGAGAGGACCACUGUCUCCAGAUGAAGGCCAAGCAAUUGCUGGAGGGCUGUCAUCAAGGAGAGAAGUACCCGGAACAUAAUAUGGAGAAGGAAGGGAAGAAAUACGGGCAGAGAGAUCGAAGUCGCUCUUACACUAGCAUAUAUGUGAAGGUUCAUCUUUAACAUCAUACAGAUUCCACAGAUUCAGGAUAUCAGGAGCAUGCAACUUUUUAUAAAAAAAGAGGCUUCAAAUUGUUCUCCUAGACCCACUGACUUCAGAAGGAUCCGUAACGACAUCAAGCUCACCUUGCCUUCCAGAACAGCCAUUAAGAAAAUACCUUACCAAGAAAAAUGUCACCUGAAUCUAAAUGAGGCAUAAAAGAAAAUUUCUUAACUUCUUUUUUUAGGUUUCCCCAAAAUGUAUCCAGUUUGCCACUACAGACAUUUUUUUAAUUUCAAACCUAAAAUCUGUUGAAAUGUAUUUCUUUAUUUUUUCUGAAUUAGAGUUUUUAUAGAAGUCAUUUUCUAAGUUCAAAUCUAUGAACCGUUUAAUGCAAAUAACGGGACUAAAGAAUAUUGUAUUUAAUGUGGAAUCAAAGGAGAAUCUUCCACUCACUGGUAAACACUAAUAUAUUUCCAUAACUUUUAAUUAAAUACUCAAGUACAGAAAAGAAAUAUUUUAAAACAAAAACAUUUUUAAAGAUUCAUGUGCAAAGAAACAUCAUCAUUUCUAAAGUAUUUCAUGGAACUCAUGUACAGUAAAUUUCAAUUAUUCCUGCUAAGGGAGGACAUUUAAUCUGCACAGAGAUAUGAAAAGUACAUCCAGUAAUUUCAAGUGCCUUCACUACAAUUUUAUGAGAGUGAUAUCUGAAUUGACUUUUGCAACUGCCCUUUUUCUUCAGUCUAUGUCCCCUGGUUAACCGUAGCUCCUAUCAUAUUGACAUGGUUAAAAGAGAGAAAGGAAAAAAAAGAUACAGGAAAACUACAGAGAAUGUAUAAUCUACAAAUUGAAUUAUAGUCAAAUAUCAAUCUUAAGGGCCAAAAUAUUACAAAAAUACUUCUCUGUUAGAUAGAGUUUGAUGGAAGAAGAGACCUUUCUGAACCCAUCAAUUCCUACUUAAUACCCUGCAACUUAAAAACCACUCAGCUCUUUAUAAAAACUAAUUCCACAUUUGGCUUGCAUGAUAUGAUACUUGUGAAAAAUGUCCAUGGCUGGAAAAAUACAUUAUCUCCAUUAUUCUAUUGAGAUAAACACAUUUUAC
rnacentral:lncRNA from 1 species